AUAGGAGGAAGACCCUGAUCCCUAGUGCUCAACACAAAAACGCUUCAAUAAUCCCCUGAGAUUGUUUUACCUUGCAACACUCUCUGGAAAAUUGUUGUUCCAGGAAUGUAAUGAAAAGAUCUGCAAGAGAGUACAGCCCCUGUUGACUGACUUGUCUUGGAAGUCAGCAAGGGUACAAUAGAUUUGGAUCAAACAGGUAAUAUAAC
rnacentral:lncRNA from 1 species